rnacentral:tRNA from 1 species
CAGGGAAUAGUUUAAAUAGAACAUUGG